AAGGCAGGUGAUGAUAAAAUAGACAGGGACAUCAGUUACUCUCUUUUUAGGGAGGAUGAUGACCAAGUCUAAAAUGGGAAUCUCUCUGAUGCCUU
rnacentral:snoRNA from 13 species